rnacentral:rRNA from 1 species
UUCCGGUUGAUCCUGCCGGACCCCACUGCUAUCGAGAUGGGACUAAGGUAUGCUAGUCGAACGACCAGAACUAUGUCUGGAAGUGGCACACUGCUCAGUAACACGUAGCUAACCUACCCUUAGGACGUGGAUACCCCCGAGAAAUUGGGGUUAAUCCGCGAUAGGUGUAAUGUCCUGGAAUGGUAUUACGCCUAAAGGUGUAUCAUACAUGUUUGAUAUACGCCUAAGGAUGGGGCUGCGGCCGAUCAGGCUGUUGGUGAGGUAAUGGCUCACCAAACCUUUGACCGGUACGGGCCAUGAGAGUGGUAGCCCGGAGAUGGACACUGAGACAAGGGUCCAGGCCCUAAGGGGCGCAGCAACCGCGAAACCUCCACAAUGCACUCACGUGCGAUGGGGCUAUCUCGAGUGCCACCUGAUGAAGGUGGCUUUUCCUAGGUCUUCAAAGCCUUGGGAAUAAGAGGGGGGCAAGACUGGUGUCAGCCGCCGCGGUAACACCAGCCCCUCGAGUGGUGGGGAUGAUUAUUUGGCCUAAAGCGUCCGUAGCCGGCCGAGCAAGUCUUCCGUUAAAUCCAGCGUCUCAAGCGUUGGACUGCGGGAGAUACUACACGGCUAGAGAGUGGGAGAGGUCAGCGGUAUUCUGGGGGUAGGGGCGAAAUCCUUUGAUCCCCGGAGGACCACCAGUGGCGAAGGCUGCUGACUAGAACACGUCUGACGGUCAGGGACGAAAGCUGGGGUAGCGAACCGGAUUAGAUACCCGGGUAGUCCCAGCCGUAAACGAUGCAUGCUAGGUGUUGGGUUGGCCACGAGCCA